AUGCAAGUUCGAGCGGUAAGGCCCUUCGGGGUACACGAGCGGCGAACGGGUGAGUAACACGUGGGUGAUCUGCCUCGUACUUCGGGAUAAGCCUGGGAAACUGGGUCUAAUACCGGAUAGGACCUCUUGUCGCAUGGCUUGGGGUGGAAAGAUUUAUCGGUGCGAGAUGGGCCCGCGGCCUAUCAGCUUGUUGGUGGGGUAAUGGCCUACCAAGGCGACGACGGGUAGCCGGCCUGAGAGGGCGACCGGCCACACUGGGACUGAGACACGGCCCAGACUCCUACGGGAGGCAGCAGUGGGGAAUAUUGCACAAUGGGCGGAAGCCUGAUGCAGCGACGCCGCGUGAGGGAUGACGGCCUUCGGGUUGUAAACCUCUUUCGACAGGGACGAAGCGCAAGUGACGGUACCUGUAGAAGAAGCACCGGCCAACUACGUGCCAGCAGCCGCGGUAAUACGUAGGGUGCGAGCGUUGUCCGGAAUUACUGGGCGUAAAGAGCUUGUAGGCGGUUUGUCGCGUCGUCUGUGAAAACUCACAGCUCAACUGUGAGCUUGCAGGCGAUACGGGCAGACUUGAGUACUGCAGGGGAGACUGGAAUUCCUGGUGUAGCGGUGAAAUGCGCAGAUAUCAGGAGGAACACCGGUGGCGAAGGCGGGUCUCUGGGCAGUAACUGACGCUGAGAAGCGAAAGCGUGGGUAGCGAACAGGAUUAGAUACCCUGGUAGUCCACGCCGUAAACGGUGGGCGCUAGGUGUGGGUUUCCUUCCACGGGAUCCGUGCCGUAGCUAACGCAUUAAGCGCCCCGCCUGGGGAGUACGGCCGCAAGGCUAAAACUCAAAGGAAUUGACGGGGGCCCGCACAAGCGGCGGAGCAUGUGGAUUAAUUCGAUGCAACGCGAAGAACCUUACCUGGGUUUGACAUACACCGGAAACCUGCAGAGAUGUAGGCCCCCUUGUGGUCGGUGUACAGGUGGUGCAUGGCUGUCGUCAGCUCGUGUCGUGAGAUGUUGGGUUAAGUCCCGCAACGAGCGCAACCCUUGUCCUGUGUUGCCAGCACGUAAUGGUGGGGACUCGCAGGAGACUGCCGGGGUCAACUCGGAGGAAGGUGGGGACGACGUCAAGUCAUCAUGCCCCUUAUGUCCAGGGCUUCACACAUGCUACAAUGGGCGGUACAGAGGGCUGCGAGACCGUGAGGUGGAGCGAAUCCCUUAAAGCCGUUCUCAGUUCGGAUCGGGGUCUGCAACUCGACCCCGUGAAGUUGGAGUCGCUAGUAAUCGCAGAUCAGCAACGCUGCGGUGAAUACGUUCCCGGGCCUUGUACACACCGCCCGUCACGUCAUGAAAGUCGGUAACACCCGAAGCCGGUGGCCCAACCCU
rnacentral:rRNA from 1 species